AUGGGUUUGAAGAACAUACAGUGACCUGGGACAAAGUCUGUUGGGCCCACAGAGCAGACCACGGUUUGUGACAAUUCGGCCCAAGUCUGUUAGACUUCAGUCUUUCUUCCUGUGGUAAGAGACUCAGGGAAGGGACUAGAAGUCAUUUUCUUCUUUGGCUCUGGACUUUAGGCAGGUGAUAUGGUUUGGCUCUGGGCCCCCUUCCAAAUCUCAUCCUGAAUUGUACUUCCAGAUACAAUUCCCAGGUGUUGUGGGAGGGACCUGGUGGGAGAUAAUUGAAUCACGGGGGCAGUUUCCCCCAUACUGUUCUCGUGAUGUGAAUAAAUCUCACGAGAGCUGAUAGGUUUAUCAGGAGUUUCUGCUUUUGCACCUUCCUCAUUUUCUCUUGCAACCGCCAUGUAAGAAGUGCUUUUUGCCCUCACCGCGAUUCUGAGGCUUCCCCAGUCAUGUGGAACGGUAAGUCCAAUUAAAACCUCUUUUUCUUCCCAGUCUCCGGCAUGUCUUUAUCGGCAGCAUGAAAACAGACUUAACACAGCAGAUGCGGGAACUCCAGAGAGCAGCUUUCUCCUGUGCUUUGGGAGAGACAGAGGAUUGAGAGACAGGAGGAAGAAUCCUGCCACCUUGAGAGCAGGCCCAGCACAGUGCUGUUCUCAGAUGGAAGAAUAGAGAAUGGAGGAGAGUCCACCCAUCCAAGCUUGAGGACAUCAUAGAUCCUCUUACAGCCUGCCAGGCCCUGACCUAUGUGAGACCAGCCCAGGUAAGAAAUGCUGCCUUCUCCACCUUCAGCUGACUGCAGACAUAUGUAGGUUUGUGAACGAUAAUCAGUGCUUACUGUUUCAAAUCAUUGUUGCAGGACAGUUUUUAACACAGCAAAAGCUAAGAUACUCAUGCACACAGAAGAAGCAUGCAUCAGUGGAAUGUCCACUUCGGUGGGAAAAUAGAACCCAGUGCUAAAUUUCCCAUUAAGCAUGCCAAGUGCAUUCUCAGCAAUGGGCACACAGAAUCUGCCCACUGACCCUGGAGGGCUCUGUUGUUACUAGGGAUUCCAAGAUUCCUUGUCCAUCUGCAGGGACAUGGAAACUAAAGGAGACUGUGGCUUCAUGGCUGGAAAGCCCGCUCAUUUGGCAUAGCUGAAAUGGGCGGGUUCCAACUGCAGCCAGGCUUUUAGAAAUGGGUGGGGGAGAGUUGUUAUGACAACCAGCAUACCCUCAUUGUGCUACCUAACUCUCAUGGUGGGUGGUGGGGUUCAAUGACUGUUGUCCACAGCAGGCCGAGAGUAAAGGUGAGGCAAGGCAGGCCUGAUUGUGCCUAAAGUGUUGCCCCAGACUGACUGACUAGGUGAAUAUCCACCAUUAUAAAGGUAAUGCAAAGACUCUAAGAAGAGGAUAGGUAACUCACUUUCAGGUGUGCAAAGUAAGGAGCGACCACUUGUGGUGGUAGUGAAGAGAGUGGGCUGUGUGGUUGAGG
rnacentral:lncRNA from 1 species